rnacentral:rRNA from 1 species
GAGUUUGAUUAUGGCUCAGGAUGAACGCUGGCGGCGUGCUUAACACAUGCAAGUCGAACGGACCUGAUUUUUAGCACAAAUUGCUUAUGCCUAUCCGUAUGGGCGGAUGCGGACCCGGUGUCCGUAAGAAAGAGCAUCCGUCUACGCCCACGAGCGUGAUAAACCAUGCAAGCGGAACGGAAAGUAAUGAGUGAUUUGUGCUGAAAAUCAGGAUAGUGGCGGACGGGUGCGUAACACGUGGGCAACCUGCCCUGCUUUUCGGAAUAACGCCGGGAAACCGUCGCUAAUGCCGAAUGAUAUGAGAAGAAGGCAUCUUCUUUUCAUCAAAGAACUUCGAAGCAGGAUGGGCCCGCGCCGGAUUAGCUGGUUGGUGAGGUAACGGCUCACCAAGGCGACGAUCCGUAGCCGACCUGAGAGGGUGAUCGGCCACACUGGAACUGAGACACGGUCCAGACUCCUACGGGAGGCAGCAGUGGGGAAAAUUGCACAAUGGGCGAAAGCCUGAUGCAGCAACGCCGCGUGAGCGAUGAAGGCUUUCGAGUCGUAAAGCUCUGUCGCAGGGGAAGAAAAAGACG